AAUAAAGUAAGCUAAUAGAAUAAGCUUUUAGGCUCAUGUCCUAAGAAUGGAAGGAUAAAAACCUCCCUUUAUUU
rnacentral:tRNA from 1 species